AUCAUGUGUAUACAAACGCAUUAUAUCUUUGGAUUGUGGUCGGCAGCGAACCAGAAAGGAACUAAAACGACUGAUCGAGAGGGAGGAGGAUGCUGAGGAGGAAGCCGAGCAGGAUCGAAGUGAAAGCGGAGGACAAAGCAGAGAUCGAAGAAGCCGUCCGCCAGCGAUCCUCCAAUCCCCGUCCCAACCCUAACCCUAACCCUAAUCCCCUCCACAAGUACCUCGACCCCUCCCCCCUCGACGCCGCCGCCAAGGCCCAGCGCAUCGGCCUCAACCAGCCUUAGCCCCGAUGGAGGUUGAGGUCAAACUCCGCCUCCCCGACGCGGGCGCCCACCAGCGACUCUCCGACGCCCUCGUUCCCCACCACCUCCGCACCCACCUCCAGGAGAACCUCUUCUUCGACGGCGCCGCCGGCGAGCUCUCCUCCCGCUUCACCGUCCUCCGUAUCCGCUUCUACGACGCGGACUCCCGCUGCGUGAUCUCCCUCAAGGCCAAGGCCCGCCUGGCCGGCGGCGUCAGCCGCGUCGAGGAGGACGAGGAGGACAUCGAUUCGGCCCUCGGCCGCGCCUGCGCCGCCGAGCCGUGGCGGCUCGCCGACUUGGCCGGAUCCUCUCGGAUCAUGAGGAGGGUGGUCGAGGAGUUCGGGUCGGAGGGAAAGAUGGGAUCCUUCGUGUGCCUGGGGGGCUUCCGGAAUGUUAGGGCGGUCUACGGGUGGAAUGAGGGGUUGAUGCUCGAGCUUGAUGAGACGCAGUAUGAUUUCGGGACUAGUUACGAGCUAGAAUGUGAGACAAUCGACCCAGAGAGGACCAAGGAGUUGCUGGAGAGGUUCUUGAAGGAGAAUGGAGUACCGUACUCGUACUCCGAAGCAUCCAAGUUUGCAGUUUUCCGAGCAGGGAAGCUUCUACCCUGACAGGGAUACAACGGAGUAAGGUGAGUCCAUAAUGAGUGGACUAAACAGAGAAAGAAGCGACAGCUUUCAUUCAUGACAUUGGACUUUCUUUUGUUGGGCAUUUCCAAAAGAAAUAGUUUUCUCUUUUAAGGGGGCUUUUUGCAGUAUGUUCUCCUCUCCUUUGGUAGGGAUAAAAAUGGUUAAGGUGUCCAUUGGUCAGAAGACUGGAUAAAGAGCUGCAUGAUUAUAUCAUGACAUUGGACUCUCUUUUGCCAGGGUGUAGGCCUGAGGAUCAUUUCACAAGUUGCCACUACUACACAUAGUUGGAAGACGCAGGUAGCAGCACAUGGUGAAAGUGCUCCAUUUUAAUAGAAUUCACCUUCUGGUCGAUCUAGUUUCCUCCUGUCCUACAAAGCAAGAUGGUGGAAUAUGUCUGAUGGAUCAGCUUCUCCAUUUUAGAUGCAAGCAAGAUUAACUGAAUACUGCAUUUACUAUAUUGUUUGUUGCUUCUCGGAGUGUGUGAUUGUGUACAUGUUGGUAGCGUUUCGCCCCUUGAUAUCUAAUGAUCGGAUGCAGAUUAGUUGCAGUUUGA